GUGAUCAACACUGAACACAGAUCAUACCAUGGAUUUGGGGCUAAUUUGGGUUUUCCUUGUUGCUCUUUUAGAAGGUGUCCAGUGUGAGGUGCAGCUUGUGGAGUUUGGGGGUCGCCUGGUGCAGCCUGGGGGGUCCCUGAGACUCUCCUGUGCAGCCUCUGGAUUUACUUUUAGUAAUAACUGGAUGGAUUGGGUCCGCCAAGCUCCAGGAAAGGGGCUGGAGUGGGUUGGAGAAAUUAAUGGAGAUAGCAGUACCAUCAAGUAUGCACUAUCCCUGAAGGACCAAUUCACCAUCUUCAGAGACAAUGCCAAAAACACUUUGUACCUGCAAAUGAACAAUGUGAGAUCUGAGGACACCGCCACUUAUUACUGUGCUAGAGACACAGUGAGAGGACCUCAGUGUGAAUCCAGACAUAUACCUCAUUGUGAGGCCACUCAGGGCCAGCAGGGGUCGCACAGCACCCAGAACACAGAUUCAGCCCAGGAGAUAAUGCAGACAUGA